UUUUUUUUUAUUUCAGAAAUGCAACUAGUAAAUUCUGCACAAGAAAAAUAGCGAUAAAAUUAUUUAUUUCUCUUAAAUAUAAUUUUAAGUCGCUGUACUUGCAGGGAAGUGCGUCAAGUAAUGAGAAAUCUCGCGCAAGCGAUUAGCGACUUGGAUGACCUGCCAUGUCCGUGAGUAAUUGAUAAUAGAAAAAAAAAAUAACACGAUUUAAUAAAAAAAAGUUAGCUACAAGUGAGUCAAUUUUUUUAAAACACACAUUACAAUGAGAACUUCAGCCAGACAACUGUAAAGUAAAAAAGUAAAUUUAGGGAUAACUUGAAAUAUGAAGCAACUUUGUGUGAAAAUAUCUUUUGUAAUAGAAUGUAGAACGAAGUUGUAAAUUAGUCUUUUUUUUUUUUUUUUGGUUUUAGUAUGGAGCAGUGUGCCACUCCAAUUCUUUCUUCGUAAGUGUCGUUUGUGUUGUUUUUAGAAAUAAAACGUACUCUCCAGUGUAUAUGAUUUUAAUCUCCGUUCUGUUUACUUAAACCAAAUUUUUCUUUAUGAUUUACACUUAAAAACAAUAAAAUUGAUCAUCAUUUUCCCACAUAUGUAAAGUACUCCAGUAGCAUCCAGAAAGAGGACGUACAGCUCCUCACCGGGAUGUUCGUCAGGGUUAGUAUUUUUUCCCCAAAAAUUAAAAGUUUCAAUUGUUUUAUUGUUCAGAAAUAAUAAAUUCUACACUCUACUUUCACUCAAAAUUAAUAGCAUUUCAUAUUCUGUCCGUACAUAUAUAGCACGCCGAUGUCAAAGAAGAGGAGGGGAAACCUUCCAUCCACUCCGUCGGUGCCGAUUGGAUUACCCCCCAAUGCGCCGAUUCGUCCAACGAAAAGGAUCGAAAUCGUCACAAUUAGCGACGAUUCAACCACGGAGAGUUACUGCCUUCUGGACAGUAGUCUCGAGAGACAACUGCUGUGAGUUAUUAUUUUAUAUAAUAACGAUUUCAUUUAAAAAAAAGAAAAGAAAGAAAGAGAAAAUUAAUGAUAAAUUUUUACGUGUA